AGAAUCAACGCUGGCGGCGUGCCUAACACAUGCAAGUCGAACGAGAAAGUGGAGCAAUCCAUGAGUAAAGUGGCGCACGGGUGAGUAACACGUGACUAACCCACCUUUUAGUGGGGGAUAACCUAGGGAAACCUGGGCUAAUACCGCAUAAUACCUACGGGUCAAAGCAGCAAUGCGCUGAAAGAGGGGGUCGCGGUCGAUUAGUUAGUUGGCAGGGUAAUGGCCUACCAAGACUGUGAUCGAUAUCCGGCCUGAGAGGGCGCACGGACACACUGGAACUGAAACACGGUCCAGACUCCUACGGGAGGCAGCAGUGGGGAAUUUUGCGCAAUGGGGGAAACCCUGACGCAGCAACGCCGCGUGGAGGAUGAAGUCCCUUGGGACGUAAACUCCUUUCGAUCGGGACGAUAAUGACGGUACCGGAAGAAGAAGCCCCGGCUAACUUCGCGCCAGCAGCCGC
rnacentral:rRNA from 1 species